GCCCAGAUCCAGCCUGCUCCAGUGGAGCCAGACGAAGGCAGACAGGUAACAAAGAAUCUUUGUCCCUGAUCUGCCACCCAGAGGUGGAGCCUAUGGGCCUGGGCUGGUCCUGGACAGGGAAGGGCUGUGGGAAUUUCCCAGUCACCUUUCCCAGGGUUGCAUCAGGAAGUCUUCACAGGACGGUCGGUCACAGGGAAGAGAUGAGAGUUUGGGCCUUAGGAUUCUUCUAUUGUUUUUUAACGUAUGUGCAUGUGUGUGAGCCUUUGUGAGUUUUAUGCGCACCAUGUGGAUGCAGGAUGCCAAGGGUCAGAAGAGAAUGCAAAUACUCUAGAACUGGGAUUAGCUACAGUGUAUGCACUGGGAAAUGAACCCUGGUUAUCGACCAGAACAAUAAGUUCUCUUGACUGCUGAGCCAUCUCGGUCCCAGCCCUGUGAUCCUAAGGUAAAUCUGAAAGAAGUCAAAGAAUAAGGUGUCUCAUGGAAGGAGGAAAGGGCAGGAUGUCAGAAGAAAGCAAGGUUACCAGCCAAGGAAGAGUAGUCCCUGUCAGUAGAGAAAAUCUCUUGUAUACUGUACGGAUGUCACAUCUGUCGAUUAAAGCUGAUUGGCCUGUAGCUGAGGCAGGAAAUAGAAGGUGGGACGUCUGAUAGGCAGAGAGAGUUCUGGGAUAGAGUGGUGUGCAGGAAGAUUGGGCUCACGGGAACAGGAAGGAGGACUCGUGUGGAACCUGCCACGUGGUAGAACUUAGAUUAGAAUUAGUGGGAUAUUUAGUUAUGAUCUUAUUGGGGGGAUCAGACAAAGCAAUGGCCUAGGUAUUUGUAAAUAAAUUUGAGUCUCAGAGUCAUUAUUUCUGGGAACAGGGGCAUGGGAAGAAAAUUACUUCCCAAUCUGUCACCUAUCAGCAACGUGUUCUUAGGCAAGGGACGGAACUUCUCUAUCUCCACAUCUGGGAAAUGGGAAUUGUAGGCCCAACUCCAGGGGUCAUCCGUGUGCCUGUGCAUCUUUAUGUAUAUGGUGGUGUGGUGAGUGACUGACCUGUAAGACGCAACAUCAGAGCUGGCCAGCGUGGCGCCAUCCUUCAUUUUCCUUCAUUUUCCAUCCAUCCAUCAUGAGGUGAGGUCAGUGUUCCAUGUCUCCUUCAUCCCUACUAGGGCUGCAUACAACACACUCUGCCCUAGACUAGACCACCUAUAGCUUUGCCUUCUGUCUUCUAGACAGAGGAGCUGGAGGGAGGGGCCUGGGGCCCAGACGCCAGGGUUUGUACAGUCUACAGCUGUAGGCCCCUUCUGAGAAGCACUGUGGGGCAAAGAUAAGCAUCUCAGGGGUUCUCAAGAAGUCCCUCGCACAGCCGAGCAGCUAAAGCAUGCUUUGUUCCAACAGGUGCUAGGAAGUGCUCACAUCUGUGUCCGGUUCUGAUCUCCCACAGACAGAGCAACCCUGGCAGGGAGGCACCAAGUCCCGUGCACAGCUCUCACUCACUGUGAGAUGGCUGUGAUCCCCACCACCAUACCCAGCCCCAUACAAAGCCUGGCACAGACAAUGCUUUGAUGAGUGUGUGAAGGCAAGUCAGAACCCCAGCCCUCAAGACAGAGAAGCUGGUAGGUAAGUCCACAAUAGCGUCCAUGAGGCAGUAGUCCCAGAAGCAUCAGGAUCCCGUAUCCAUACCCAGUCUUUCUGCCUGGGUGAGUUCGGGAGGCCAGUCGAUGAUAGGGACCGCCAGGAGACACUGGAAGGAAGUCUCCUUCAAUACUUUCUAUACACCAGAAAGAAGAGGGGCAGGAGUGGUCAGGAAGGGACUAGCCAAGGCCACACAGCCACUUAGUAGCAUAGCAGCAUAGUGCUCAAGUCUUUUGCUUUCUGAUCACCAGGGUCCUGUCCUCAAGGCCAGCUUAUUCUGGCUAUUGGGGGAAGAAAAGUGUUCUGAAAACCAUAACCAGGGAAAGUGGUUGGGAAGCUGGGAUGCAGAUCAACAUCUGGAGAAAACACAGAGGCUCUAUGUAUGUCUUUCUUCUUUUACUCAUUCAUUCAUUUAUUCAUUCACAAUUCAUUUAUUCCUUCCAUUCAUUCAUUCAUUCAUUCAUUCAUUUACAAUUUCAUUCAUUCAUUCACAAUUCAUUUAUUCCUUCCCUCCCUCCACCCACCUAUCCAUUCAUUCAUUCACAAUUCAUUUAUUCCUUCCUCUCAUUCAUUCAAAAUUCACUUAUUUGACAGACAAACUCUCUGCAGUCUUCCCAGGUCGCAGCUGGGGCAGGGCUCCAGGAGCGCAGUGCUGAAUCUGACCUGCCUGCACCUGCCUCAGAGAAGCUCCCAGAACUAGAGGGCAGGAGUGCUGCCAGGCCAUACUACUGUCUGUGAGUGGAACCCGAGGUGGGGCUGGGUGGGCAGAGCAGAGUCUGGAAACAGUUGCACAGACAUGUCUUCCUUGGUUAUGGCAGAGCUGCUGGGCGCCUCGAGCCAACACGGAGGACUGUGGUCUCCAGGAGUACAGUGAGGAACACAGGCAAGGAGACACUAGGAUUCAUCUGCAGGCCUGAGAGUAUAGCUCAGUUGUAGAAUGCCUGCUUGGCAUGAAUGAAGCUUGGGUUCCAUCCUCAGCACCCCUUAAACUGGGCACAGCACCACACAGCUGUGGUUCUGACCCUCAGGAGGCAGGGGCUGUUCAAAGUCAUCUUUGGUUACAUAGCUAGUUUGAGGUGGGCCUAAGCUUCUUAAGACCCUCCUUAAGCCAAUCAAUCCAUAUGAUAUUUAAGGAAAAGAAAGUCCAUCUAGGACCUGCGGGGCCUGAAGUGCUGGUCAGACAUCCAGGAGACUCCAGGCCAGGGACAGAGCCUGAGAGGUGUCAGAGUGGACUGUGGUGAUGUCCCAGGGUCACUGUGACUGCUGGGCCGUGGAGGGCACAACAGAUAGGAUAGUACAGCCUGACUCUCUUGAUGGAGAGGAAGUUCCUCCCCAGGGGAGCCCAGGCCACUUCCGCCCUCCACUUGGAGCUGGGUGGUGGAUAACAGCUGGCCUCAGGCCUUGAAGCCAUGGGGCCUUCCUGCUCAGUCACACAGCACACGAAGGAAAUAACUUUAUUAGUUAGUGGGUGAAAAACAGGAAAUGUACGCUGUGACUCGGGCACCGGCCUGGCCUCACUCACAUCUAGUUUCUAGGAAACAGAUAUGUGACCUCAGAGAAGGUUGGUUUUUCUCAGCCAUAUCUUUCUGGAAACACCGGCCUUUUCUUGGGAAAAAAAAAAAAAAAAGUCCUGUUGGUCCUCCAGACAGUGGGGUAACAGUGACACAGGUCCCCACCCCAACAGAGAACUUACUCUCCAUCACAGCACACCCAGACAGGCUUCUAUAAGGCACAGGGUCACAAUGGCUCAUCGCCUGAGCCCCUACUGUGUGCUGUGUGGCAGAAACAAAUUGGGUCCAUUACUCACCACCACCACAAGAGGAAGACUGUCAAAGUAGGC
rnacentral:lncRNA from 1 species